GACACAGGUGGUCAGGUAGAGAAUACCAAGGCGCUUGAGAGAACUCGGGUGAAGGAACUAGGCAAAAUGGUGCCGUAACUUCGGGAGAAGGCACGCUGAUAUGUAGGUGAAGUCCCUCGCGGAUGGAGCUGAAAUCAGUCGAAGAUACCAGCUGGCUGCAACUGUUUAUUAAAAACACAGCACUGUGCAAACACGAAAGUGGACGUAUACGGUGUGACGCCUGCCCGGUGCCGGAAGGUUAAUUGAUGGGGUCAGCGCAAGCGAAGCUCUUGAUCGAAGCCCCGGUAAACGGCGGCCGUAACUAUAACGGUCCUAAGGUAGCGAAAUUCCUUGUCGGGUAAGUUCCGACCUGCACGAAUGGCGUAAUGAUGGCCAGGCUGUCUCCACCCGAGACUCAGUGAAAUUGAACUCGCUGUGAAGAUGCAGUGUACCCGCGGCAAGACGGAAAGACCCCGUGAACCUUUACUAUAGCUUGACACUGAACAUUGAGCCUUGAUGUGUAGGAUAGGUGGGAGGCUUUGAAGUGUGGACGCCAGUCUGCAUGGAGCCGACCUUGAAAUACCACCCUUUAAUGUUUGAUGUUCUAACGUGGACCCGUGAUCCGGGUUGCGGACAGUGUCUGGUGGGUAGUUUGACUGGGGCGGUCUCCUCCUAAAGAGUAACGGAGGAGCACGAAGGUUGGCUAAUCCUGGUCGGACAUCAGGAGGUUAGUGCAAUGGCAUAAGCCAGCUUGACUGCGAGCGUGACGGCGCGAGCAGGUGCGAAAGCAGGUCAUAGUGAUCCGGUGGUUCUGAAUGGAAGGGCCAUCGCUCAACGGAUAAAAGGUACUCCGGGGAUAACAGGCUGAUACCGCCCAAGAGUUCAUAUCGACGGCGGUGUUUGGCACCUCGAUGUCGGCUCAUCACAUCCUGGGGCUGAAGUAGGUCCCAAGGGUAUGGCUGUUCGCCAUUUAAAGUGGUACGCGAGCUGGGUUUAGAACGUCGUGAGACAGUUCGGUCCCUAUCUGCCGUGGGCGCUGGAGAACUGAGGGGGGCUGCUCCUAGUACGAGAGGACCGGAGUGGACGCAUCACUGGUGUUCGGGUUGUCAUGCCAAUGGCACUGCCCGGUAGCUAAAUGCGGAAGAGAUAAGUGCUGAAAGCAUCUAAGCACGAAACUUGCCCCGAGAUGAGUUCUCCCUGACCCUUUAAGGGUCCUGAAGGAACGUUGAAGACGACGACGUUGAUAGGCCGGGUGUGUAAGCGCAGCGAUGCGUUGAGCUAACCGGUACUAAUGAACCGUGAGGCUUAACCUUACAACGCCGAAGGUGUUU
rnacentral:rRNA from 1 species